rnacentral:rRNA from 1 species
AUUGAACGCUGGCGGCAGGCCUAACACAUGCAAGUCGAACGAGUGGCGGACGGGUGAGUAAUGUCUGGGAAACUGCCUGAUGGAGGGGGAUAACUACUGGAAACGGUAGCUAAUACCGCAUACCAUCAGAUGUGCCCAGAUGGGCUUAGCUAGUGGGUGGGGUAAAGGAUCACCAAGGCGACGAUCCCUAGCUGGUCUGAGAGGAUGACCAGCCACACUGGAACAUAGACCAGGUCCAGACCCCUACGGGAGGCAACAUGGGGGAAAAAUGGACAAUGGGCGCAAGCCUGAUAGAGCCAUUCCGGGUGUAUGAAGAAGGCCUUCGGGUUGUAAAUUAAUUUCAGCGGGGGGGAGUUAACCGCAAGAGAAGCAACGGCUAACUCCGUGGCAGCAGACGCGGUAAUUC